rnacentral:rRNA from 1 species
UACGAAGGGGGCGAGCGUUGUUCGGAUUUACUGGGCGUAAAGGGCGCGCAGGCGGUCUUGAAAGUCAGGCGUGAAAGCCCCGGGCUUAACCUGGGAAUUGCGCUUGAUACUCUGAGACUGGAGUACGGGAGAGGAGAGUGGAAUUCCCAGUGUAGAGGUGGAAUUCGUAGAUAUUGGGAAGAACACCAGUGGCGAAGGCGGCUCUCUGGACCGUAACUGACGCUGAGGCGCGAAAGCGUGGGGAGCAAACAGG